UACGGAGGGGGCUAGCGUUGUUCGGAAUUACUGGGCGUAAAGCGCACGUAGGCGGCUUUGCAAGUUAGAGGUGAAAGCCCGGGGCUCAACCCCGGAAUUGCCUUUAAAACUGCAUCGCUAGAAUUGUGGAGAGGUAAGUGGAAUUCCGAGUGUAGAGGUGAAAUUCGUAGAUAUUCGGAAGAACACCAGUGGCGAAGGCGACUUACUGGACACAUAUUGACGCUGAGGUGCGAAAGCGUGGGGGGCAAACAGG
rnacentral:rRNA from 1 species